GAUUGAACGCUGGCGGUAUGCUUAACACAUGCAAGUCGAACGGAAACGAUACUAGCUUGCUAGUAGGCGUCGAGUGGCGGACGGGUGAGUAACGCGUAGGAAUCUGCCUGAUAGUGGGGGAUAGCCCGAAGAAAUUCGGAUUAAUACCGCAUAAUCUAUUCGUAGUAAAGUGGGGGACUUUCGAGCCUCACGCUAUCAGAUGAGCCUGCGUAAGAUUAGCUUGUUGGUAGGGUAAAAGCCUACCAAGGCGACGAUCUUUAGCUGGUCUGAGAGGAUGAUCAGCCACAUCGGGACUGAGACACGGCCCGAACUCCUACGGGAGGCAGCAGUGGGGAAUAUUGGACAAUGGGGGCAACCCUGAUCCAGCAAUACCGCGUGUGUGAAGAAGGCCUGAGGGUUGUAAAGCACUUUCAAUUGUGAAGAAAAGUUAGCGGUUAAUAACCGUUAGCCUUGACGUUAACUUUAGAAGAAGCACCGGCUAACUCCGUGCCAGCAGCCGCGGUAAUACGGAGGGUGCAAGCGUUAAUCGGAAUUACUGGGCGUAAAGCGUGCGUAGGCGGUUUAUUAAGUCAGAUGUGAAAGCCCCGGGCUUAACCUGGGAACUGCAUUUGAAACUGGUCAACUAGAGUAUGGUAGAGGAAAGUGGAAUUUCUGGUGUAGCGGUGAAAUGCGUAGAUAUCAGAAGGAACAUCAAUGGCGAAGGCAGCUUUCUGGACCAAUACUGACGCUGAGGUACGAAAGCGUGGGUAGCAAACAGGAUUAGAUACCCUGGUAGUCCACGCCGUAAACGAUGAUAACUAGCCGUUGGGGGGAUUUACCCUUUAGUGGCGAAGCUAACGCGUUAAGUUAUCCGCCUGGGGAGUACGGCCGCAAGGUUAAAACUCAAAGGAAUUGACGGGGACCCGCACAAGCGGUGGAGCAUGUGGUUUAAUUCGAUGCAACGCGAAGAACCUUACCUGGUCUUGACAUCCUGCGAACUUUCUAGAAAUAGAUUGGUGCCUUCGGGAACGCAGUGACAGGUGCUGCAUGGCUGUCGUCAGCUCGUGUCGUGAGAUGUUGGGUUAAGUCCCGUAACGAGCGCAACCCCUAUCCUUAUUUGCCAGCACAUCAUGGUGGGAACUAUAAGGAGACUGCCGGUGAUAAACCGGAGGAAGGCGGGGACGACGUCAAGUCAUCAUGGCCCUUACGACCAGGGCUACACACGUGCUACAAUGGGAAGGACAAAGAGCCGCGAAGCCGCGAGGUGUAGCUAAUCUCAUAAACCUUUUCGUAGUCCGGAUUGGAGUCUGCAACUCGACUCCAUGAAGUCGGAAUCGCUAGUAAUCGUAGAUCAGAAUGCUACGGUGAAUACGUUCCCGGGUCUUGUACUCACCGCCCGUC
rnacentral:rRNA from 1 species